CCCGUUUGAUGGUAAAAACACUCACAGCUCGCUCGCUCACUCUCACACACUUCAUUCGAGUUGUGUUUCUUCACUCCGUGGACCCAGAGAGACGAGUGCGGUCUCCUGGCCUCCUCUGGUCCAGCUCAAUCCUCCGUUUGGGCACACACUGGGCGGCCCCGACAAGCCCGGGCACGCCUCGGAGCGGCUCGGCUCGGCUCGGCUCGGAUCGGCUCGGAUAGGAUCUGAUCUGCCGAAACCACACGACCAGUCAUCUCAUUGGUAGAUCGCGCGCUUUGGGACAUGAUCUAUGUUGGUGCCAAUUUACAGGCUGCUCGUUGGAAGUCGAAUGAAGCAACUCUUGCCAGUUUGGACUGAUUCCUGCAGCUGCGAAUCUGCAACCGCAUCAACUGGGGGGGGGGGGGGGGGGGGGGGGGGGGGGGGGGGGGGGGGGGGGGGGGGGAGCUCUCAAAUCCACAGAGAAGCGACGUUUUUUGGCAUCUUUUCAUGGCGUCCAAUUUGCAGCCGACUCUGCAGAUGCCGCUGUUGUUGCUGCUGGCGCUUGUCCUGUUGCCCGCGACAUCUCAUGGCGAUCAUGUCAACGUGGUGUUGUUGGGGGCAACUGGAGACCUGGCCAGACGCCGAUUGUGGCCGGGCCUGUUCUCCGUGUACUGCAAUUUGUCCGCACCGCCACGAUCGCACUUCACCUUCUCCUUCUUUGGUGCAAGUCGAAAUGGCGGAGCGGAGAGCGAGGCUCGAUUGUUUCGGACGAUACGUGAAGGGGGGCUGCGGUGCCCACCUGAAAUUGGUGCCCGUGAACCGUUGUGUCAGCUACUCAGGGAGCAGUUUAUGCGGUUGGUGCGGUCUGUGCGGUUACACCUUCCUCAGGACUAUAUUGACCUGUGUUCAAACUUGGGAACAGAAGUGGCACAGGAAGGCCUGGUGGAGGCUGGUCGCCUUUUCUACCUCUCCGUUCCACCAACUGCCUACGCAGAUAUUGUCAGCAACAUCUCUGCUGCCUGCCGUCCUCCAAAUGGGGUAAAGUUGGUACAAUAGGUGCAAAGUACAAAGUGAUGCAAAAUAUAUCUACAUAUGUAAAAAUUAGAAUGCCAGGUGUUGGCUUUGCAGUAAAGGUGGCUGGCUUAGGAUCUUUGGGUCCUCAGUUCAAGCCCUGUUCGCUGCUGAAAUAACACCAGGUGGGGUUGACUCAGCCUGUCAUCCUUCCGAGGUUGGCGGAAUGAGUACCAGUGGACUGGUGGAGGGGCACAGCAUUAGCGGCACAGCCAUGCUUCCAAUAAAUGACAGCUACCCAGCAGCCAAGCUGCCAUAUGCAAGAACAGAACAGAAGAAUUAGAAUGGCAUUCGGUAGAGCGCAUGCCUCUGCCAGGCUGAACAGUUUACCUUUUGUAUCCCACUGAUGGGCCGGAUCUGAAUGCGGACUUGAACCAAAAAAUAAAAUCGGUUUGUUCUUGUUAUCUAACCAACUCUUCCACCAAGGUUUGUCAUAAUCCGUCCACAACUUUUUUUAAACAUCGUGUUUUUAUAGUUUUUUCCCCAUCUCUCAAUUAUGAAGAAUCAAUAAACUAGAAGUUCACUCGGUAGAGCUCAUACCGAUGCCGCGCAAUGCCUGAUCCACGAGAACAUAUCAGGCCCAAUACAUUUUUGAAAUAUGCGAUACAGUCCGAUAUCGUUUUUGGCCCUAUAUCUCAAUGGUGAAGAAUCACUUUAACCAGAGUUGGUGUCAAAGCCACCCAAUGCUCGCCUGUUUAUACAUUUAUCGUUUUUAAAAGACUAGUCUAAUAUAAUUAAUAUAUUUUUAUAAAGCAUUGCAGUGAAGUCUGAUCCAAAUAAUUUUAAAGCAAUAUAUGUAUUUGUAUAUUGCAAUCAGUAACAAGAGCGCAAGUGAGCAGAAUAUAUGCCCGGACAAGAAGGUAUAUACAGAAUUGUGCUACGACAUAGAAAACAGCAUCCUGGUUGCCAUGGCAACGACUUUAGAUGACUAACUUAUUGCAUGACACACCGUCUCCACAGUCUAUACCUUUGUACCAAAUAUGAAAUGUGAAAGUUGAAAACUUUGGGAGUUCGAGUGCGGACAGGAACGGAUGCAAAACAGCAUCCGGGUUGCCAUGGCAACCACUUUAGAUGACGAACCUAUGUGCGACACACCGUCUCCACAGUCUGUACCUCGGUACCAAAGAUGAAACGUGAAAGUUGAAAACUUUGGGAGUUAGAGUCGGACAGGAACGGACGGACGACAUCACAUAAUACGCCCC
ensembl:lincRNA